rnacentral:rRNA from 1 species
GACGAACGCUGGCGGCGACGCCUAACACAUGCAAGUCGAACGAGUAGAUGAAGAGCUUGCUCUUCAGAUCGAGUGCGAACGGGUGAGUAACGCGUGAGGAACCUGCCUCAAAGAGGGGGACAACAGUUGGAAACGACUGCUAAUACCGCAUAAGCCCACGGCUCGGCAUCGAGCAGAGGGAAAAGGAGUGAUCCGCUUUGAGAUGGCCUCGCGUCCGAUUAGCUAGUUGGUGAGGUAAACGGGCCCACCAAGGCGACGAUCGGUAGCCGGACUGAGAGGUUGAACGGCCACAUUGGGACUGAGACACGGCCCAGACUCCUACGGGAGGCAGCAGUGGGGAAUAUUGCACAAUGGGGGGAACCCUGAUGCAGCGACGCCGCGUGGAGGAAGAAGGUCUUCGGAUUGUAAACUCCUGUUGUUGAGGAAGAUAAUGACGGUACUCAACAAGGAAGUGACGGCUAACUACGUG